UCGAAUAUAACAAUAUAAGCAGGGCCCAUACAUUUCAUGCCGAUGACGCAAAAAUGACGUACGGCCCGAUCCAAAGUUUAACAUAUAGGGAGUUUACUUACAACACUAGGUACAAAUUUAGCUAACUUACCUAUUGAUGCGUAUAAACAUAAAUACUUGUUGCUUAAAAUACACAGUUAAAAAUCUAAAAUAUGUAUUAUUUAAUAAUCUAUUAUUUAGUUGAGUGAAAAUAAGAUGAAAACCGUUUCUGUACUGAUUGUCAAGUAUCCAUAACAGUUAACUAAAGAAGUUGACAAAUGAUUAAUUAUUACGAAAAUAUUAAUUGGAAUCAUACUCUAUGUAGUGACCAUUUUUCCGUCAACGGCAUGAAAUGUACGGGCCCUUCAUAUAAGUAUGUAAACAUAAUUAAAAACUACUACUAGUACGUAUAUGGUAUAAAAAUAUAACUUAUACAUAUUACUACAUGCUUAUACAGGAUGGGGAACAUCAUACAAAUUAUUCUGACAGAAGAUGCUUGCGAAGUACUCGCUUCAUAACAGGUUUGCUAAUAUUCGUUAUUUUUAUCAUAAAAUAAUAAUACAUGAGGAUUUUUAUCACUUAAUUUGCCGGACUUUCAAAACAAAAUUUGGAUUCGCAAGCCACGUCCGCACCCAUGCACGUAAUAAAUAUAAUAAAUAAAUAAUAAAUAGUGAAGUGUUAUAUAUAUUAGGUGUUCGUAGAAGUGAUCGGAUCAGAAACACGGAACUACGCUUCAGAACUCGAGUUGUAGAUGUAGGCGUCAAGACCGCCAAGCUCAAGUAGGACUGGGCUGGACAUGUCUGCCGCAUGCACCCGGAAAGGUGGGCCAAAAUGGUUACUGAGUGGGACCCACGGAACACCAUAGACGGUGCAGGACGGGGUGCAGGCAGACCGAAAAAGAGAUGGCGGGAUGACUUGGACGCAUUCUACCCAAAAUGGUGGGAGAAUGCCAACGACAGGGUCGAGUGGAGAAAACGAGGGGAGGCCUUUGCCCAGCAGUGGGACACUGUA